GAUGAACGCUGGCGGCGUGCCUAAUACAUGCAAGUCGAGCGAACGGACGAGAAGCUUGCUUCUCUGAUGUUAGCGGCGGACGGGUGAGUAACACGUGGAUAACCUACCUAUAAGACUGGGAUAACUUCGGGAAACCGGAGCUAAUCCCGGAUAAUAUUUUGACCCGCAUGGUUCAAAAUUGAAAGCCGGUCUUGCUGUCACUUAUAGUUGGUUCCGCGCUGCAUUAGCUAGUUGGUAAGGUAAAGGCUUACCAAGGCAACGAUGCAUAGCCGACCUGAGAGGGUGAUCGGCCACACUGGAACUGAGACACGGUACAGACUCCUACGGGAGGCAGCAGUAGGGAAUCUUCCGCAAUGGGCGAAAGCCUGACGGAGCAACGCCGCGUGAGUGAUGAAGGUCUUCGGAUCGUAAAACUCUGUUAUUAGGGAAGAACAUAUGUGUAAGUAACUGUGCACAUCUUGACGGUACCUAAUCAGAAAGCCACGGCUAACUACGUG
rnacentral:rRNA from 1 species